rnacentral:lncRNA from 8 species
AUGGUGGUAGUGGGAGAGUGUCCGUUCUCUCCAUGUCCCUGUCUCUCUCAUGGUGGUGGUGGGAGAGUGUCCGUUCUCUCCAUGUCCCUGUCUCUCUCAUGGUGGUGGUGGGAGAGUGUCCGUUCUCUCCAUGUCCCUGUCUCUCUCAUGGUGGUAGUGGGAGAGUGUCCGUUCUCUCCAUGUCCCUGUCUCUCUCAUGGUGGUGGUGGGAGAGUGUCCGUUCUCUCCAUGUCCCUGUCUCUCUCAUGGUGGUGGUGGGGGAGUGUCCAUUCUCUCCCUGUCUCUCAUGGUGGUGGUGGGGGAGUGUCCGUUCGCUCCCUGUCUCUCUCAUGGUGGUGGUGGGAGAGUGUCCGUUCGCUCCCUGUCUCUCUCAUGGUGGUGGUGGGGGAGUGUCCAUUCGCUCCCUGUCUCUCAUGGGGGUGGUGGGGGAGUGUCCGUUCGCUCCCUGUCUCUCAUGGUGGUGGUGGGAGAGUGUCCGUUCGCUCCCUGUCUCUCUCAUGGUGGUGGUGGGAGAGUGUCCGUUCGCUCCCUGUCUCUCUCAUGGUGGUGGUGGGGGAGUGUCCGUUCGCUCCCUGUCUCUCAUGGUGGUGGUGGGAGAGUGUCCGUUCGCUCCCUGUCUCUCUCAUGGUGGUGGUGGGAGAGUGUCCGUUCGCUCCCUGUCUCUCUCAUGGUGGUGGUGGGAGAGUGUCCGUUCGCUCCCUGUCUCUCUCAUGGUGGUGGUGGGAGAGUGUCCGUUCGCUCCCUGUCUCUCUCAUGGUGGUGGUGGGGGAGUGUCCAUUCGCUCCCUGUCUCUCAUGGUGGUGGUGGGAGAGUGUCCGUUCGCUCCCUGUCUCUCUCAUGGUGGUGGUGGGAGAGUGUCCGUUCGCUCCCUGUCUCUCUCAUGGUGGUGGUGGGAGAGUGUCCGUUCGCUCCCUGUCUCUCUCAUGGUGGUGGUGGGGGAGUGAGAGAAGCAGUGGGACUAAUCGUGGCACCUGUUCAGAGUUCUUUCCCUCUCCUGUUUCAUUCUUUCAUACUUUUCCCGUCUCAUUUUUUCUCAUCUCUCUUCUUGCGAUCUGUUCUUUCCGCCAUGGCAGAGACUCUGACACUCCCCCCAAGGAUCCUACAUGCGACCCUGUCUGGCUGUGUGUGUGUGUGUGUGUGUGUGUGUGUGUGUGUGUGUGUGUGUGUGUGUGUGUGUGUGUGUGUGUGUGUGUGUGUGUGUGUCUGUGUGUGUGUGUGUGUGUGUGUGUGUGUGUGUGUGUGUCUGUGUGUGGGGGACGGGGGGACGUGGGGCUCUGUUAA